rnacentral:tRNA from 1 species
GGGCGAGUAGCCGAAUUGGUAUAGGCGCAGCGCUUAGGACGCUGUUCCCGCAAGGGAGUGUGGGUUCGAGUCCCACCUCGCCCACCA